AAUCCAAGUUUUAAUGACAUGAAAAAGUCCCUCAGUUUUAACUAACUCAGCUCUGGUGAUUUUUAUGGGUCACACUCAGGGGAUCAAACUAGAUAAACACAAAAAUGUAGCAUUGGAAAAUCUCACUGUCAGGUAUGUUCAAAGGCCACACAUGCUGUGGUUCAAUACACAAAUAACAUGAUACUUGAAUAAUUAUGAAAUUAUGUAUCUGGAGUUUUGGAAUCGAAUGAUGCCCCGAAGAAAAAUCACUCUGUGGUCUUCUUGUUUUGGUAGUGAAGGAAGCACACUUCUCCACGCGACCCACAAAGCUCAGAGUUGUGUUGAUUUAUGUUAAAAAAAACAAUGACUUGAUCACCAGUGCAUUACCUGUUGGUUCAUUAGACACUUUUCUACAUUAUUGUCUGUUCUAUGUAAAUCAAGGCAUAAGGCCAUAUGCAGAUAUUUCUGGUGUGAGUAUGUAUGUGUGUGUGUGUAUGUGUGUGCACGGUGUAUGCAGAUGCAAAUGUUCUCCAUAGAUCUCAGACUGUGAUUGAACCCUGCACAGACAAAUGAGUCCUUUUUUAUAUGUAUUCUUGAGUGUUUGUGUGUCUGAGAGAGAGAAAGAUAUAUGUACAUAUGACUCAUGAGCAGGUGUAUGUACAGUAAUAAACUACCAAUAAACAAGGCUAUGGGCAUCCUCCUAUUGAA